rnacentral:rRNA from 1 species
GACGAAGGAUGCAAGCGUUAUCCGGAUUCAUUGGGUUUAAAGGGAGCGUAGGUGGCCUUGUAAGUCAGUGGUGAAAUCUGACAGCUUAACUGUUAAAUUGCCAUUGAUACUGCAAGGCUUGAGUACAGAUGCCGUUGGCGGAAUAUGACAUGUAGUGGUGAAAUACAUAGAGAUGUCAUAGAACACCGAUUGCGAAGGCAGCUGACGAAACUGUAACUGACACUGAGGCUCGAAAAGUGUGGGGAUCAAACAGG